rnacentral:rRNA from 1 species
CCUACGGGUGGCUGCAGUCGAGAAUCAUUCACAAUGGGGGAAACCCUGAUGGUGCGACGCCGCGUGGGGGAAUGAAGGUCUUCGGAUUGUAAACCCCUGUCAUGUGGGAGCAAAUUAAAAAGAUAGUACAACAAGAGGCAGAGACGGCUAACUCUGUGCCAGCGGCCGCGGUAAUACAGAGGGCUCAAGCGGUGUUCGGAAUCACUGGGCGUAAAGCGGGCGUAGGCUGUUUCGUAAGUCGUGUGUGAAAGGCGCGGGCUCAACCCGCGGACGGCACAUGAUACUGCGAGACUAGAGUAAGGGAGGGGGAACUGGAAUUCUCGGUGUAGCAGUGAAAUGCGUAGAUAUCGAGAGGAACACUCGUGGCGAAGGCGGGUUCCUGGACAUUAACUGACGCUGAGGCACGAAGGCCAGGGGAGCGAAAGGGAUUAGAUACCCCUGUAGUC